AGGACCAAACAGGGUGCGUGAGAGCCGAGAGGAAGGAAGAAAAUUCCAGAUUUCUGUGCGUAAGUUUAGAGUGUAUCUAAGGUUCUGGAAACUGAAAGCCUUGAACUUACUUAUGUUUCUUUUCUUUUGGAUGUAAUGGAUAUUAUGGCUAUUGUGUGGGUUGUAUUAUGCUUCAACAUGAAUUAUGUACUUUUGUUUUAGAUUGCCACUUGAUGCUGGAAAAGUGUAAAACCUAAUUUCGAUAUCUGGUUCGUAUGAAUUUUAUUUGUAUA